rnacentral:rRNA from 1 species
AAAUUCUCAGGCGCUUGAGAGAACCCAGGUGAAGGAACUCGGCAAAUUAGCACCGUAACUUCGGGAGAAGGUGCGCCCCGGUAGAUUGUAGUGGCUUGCCCACGAAGGUCGAUGGGGUUGCAGUGAAAAGGUGGCUGCGACUGUUUAACAAAAACACAGCACUCUGCAAACACGAAAGUGGACGUAUAGGGUGUGACUCCUGCCCGGUGCCGGAAGGUUAAUUGAUGGGGUGCAAGCUCUUGAUCGAAGCCCCGGUAAACGGCGGCCGUAACGAUAACGGUCCUAAGGUAGCGAAAUUCCUUGUCGGGUAAGUUCCGACCCGCACGAAUGGAGUAACGAUGGCCACACUGUCUCCACCUGGGACUCAGCGAAAUUGAAAUGGUUGUGAAGAUGCAAUCUACCCGCGGCUAGACGGAAAGACCCCGUGCACCUUUACUGUAGCUUUACAUUGGACUUUGACAAGACGCGUGUAGGAUAGGUGGGAGACUAUGAAGUGGGAGCGCUAGUUCUCAUGGAGUCAACCUUGAAAUACCACCCUCGUGUUGUUGAGGUUCUAACCUUGGUCCAUCAUCUGGAUUGGGGACAGUGUAUGGUAGGCAGUUUGACUGGGGCGGUCUCCUCCCAAAGAGUAACGGAGGAGUUCGAAGGUAUCCUAGAUACGGUCGGAAAUCGUAUUGAUAGUGCAAUGGCAUAAGGAUGCUUGACUGCGAGACUGACACGUCGAGCAGGUGCGAAAGCAGGACAUAGUGAUCCGGUGGUUCUGUAUGGAAGGGCCAUCGCUCAACGGAUAAAAGGUACGCCGGGAUAACAGGCUGAUACCGCCCAAGAGUUCAUAUCGACGGCGGUGUUUGGCACCUCGAUGUCGGCUCAUCACAUCCUGGGGCUGUAGCCGGUCCCAAGGGUAUGGCUGUUCGCCAUUUAAAGUGGUACGUGAGCUGGGUUCAAAACGUCGUGAGACAGUUUGGUCCCUAUCUACCGUGGGCGCUGGAAGUUUGAGGGGGGCUGCUUCUAGUACGAGAGGACCGAAGUGGACGCACCUCUGGUGUACCGGUUGUCACGCCAGUGGCAUAGCCGGGUAGCUAUGUGCGGAAAAGAUAAUCGCUGAAAGCAUCUAAGCGAGAAACUUGCCUCAAGAUAAGACUUCCCUGGAGACUUGAUCUCCCUAAAGGGUCGUUGCAGACUACAACGUUGAUAGGCUGGGUGUGUAAGCGCAGUAAUGCGUUGAGCUAACCAGUACUAAUUGCCCGUGAGGCUUGAUCCU